UGCGCAGGCGGAUUAAUAAGUCGGGGGUUAAAUCCAUGUGCUUAACACAUGCACGGCUUCCGAUACUGUUGAUCUAGAGUCUCGAAGAGGAAGGUGGAAUUUCCGGUGUAACGGUGGAAUGUGUAGAUAUCGGAAAGAACACCAGUGGCGAAGGCAGCCUUCUGGUCGAGUACUGACGCUCAUGCACGAAGCGUGGGGAGCAAACAG
rnacentral:rRNA from 1 species